GACACGCUUCGGGGACUCGGGUCCUGGCAAAGCCAAUCCAGAGUCCUCCCCUGGGCUCCAAACUAGGGGGAGGGCCCUCCCGAGCCUGGGAAAACGGACCAGCCGCUCUUUUUUUUUAACUGGGCGGUUUGACUCUUCACCAGAGCCCAGGCUGGACUGUAAACAGCACAGCCUGAGCCCACCUCCCGGGCCUGCAAAGCCCAGGGCUGGUAGGGGUUUGGGAUGGGCAAAAGGAGUCUUAGCUCAGCAGGAAGUUUUGAAGCGAGUUUGGGAGCAAAAUGACGUGAGGAUGUCUGACAAAUUUACCUGACACACAGAUUAUUUUUGGGUCCUGCGUUGGGCGGCUGAAAGGCUGUUUGAAGCAUAUGGCACCCCCAGAGGCAGUCACUACGUGUGGGCAUCGCAGAGGGCUUUACGGCUGGGAGAAUUAAGAUGCUGCUGCUACAAGCUUCCCUCUUCUGCAACCCAGGUUGCUCUUGUUCGUCACUGGAUAGAGGGGUGCUAUGCCCUUAGCUCUAAGGAGAGGCAAUUCAACAGGGCAAGGCUGUGCGGGAUGGAGAGCAAGACUAUAUUUAAGUAGAAAUGCCCGUUUGUUUUAUGCAUCAGCUUUGGGGCACUCAUACUGCGCCCACUUAUCAGAGGACCCGAGUACUAACGACUUGCAUGGCAGUCAGAUGGAAGUCCAGCUACUGAGCACAUUCUGAAAAUCCAGAUCAUGCCAUCUCAAAACCAGGUCGGCCUGGCUACUCUGUUAUACUGCUUCAGCGAUCUAAAUGCUUACCAUGGUGGAAGCACUGCUGUAAAGUGAACCAGCAAUUUCCUUCCAGUCCAACUUAAGCCAGAGACAAUGGCCUCCUACAGGAGAAAUGACCCUUCAGGAGUUUUGUUUUCCAGGUCAUUAACACUUCUGGCACCGUUUGCUACAGAAUCCAUAAACAAGCUCAUUAGACAGAGGAGAGAUGCAGCAGCUUCUGAAACACAUCCCCAGAGCGGAGCAGAGCACAGCAUACUGUGUAAACUCCCAGGUCGAGUGUCUCCAAGGAGACAGAUCCAGUGACUGCUUGUUCUUUGUCGCUUAAUAGUCACGACUCGGGCUUCCAGCUGAGGUGACUCAUCAGAAUCUUAAAUGGAUUAUGCACAAAACAGCAUGUCCUUCUGGGAGUGUUUUCCAUUCUGCAGGCAGGAUUUAUUUGCUCUUUUUUGGGUAUCCAUUUUCUUUUUAGCCUUGACACAAUCAGUGUUUUCAUAGCCAACAUGCUCAGCUUCCCAAGAGACAUUUUACAGACAGGCCUCUGGAAGCAUGGUAAGGAAACAAGCAGUCCUUAAUGCCACUUAAGGUACCUUGUUCACAUCCACUGCUCACCUGUUUGCGGCAAGAGGGACAGAAGGGCAAAAAGAUCUAUUCAUCCUACCAGCUUUCUUUAAAGGUUUCAAAAUUCACAACAGCAGGGAAGUGGCACCAGAAACACUAUCUACCCUGCAACUAUACUGACCAUCACAAGAAGCAAAGGGUAUGAUCAUGUUGAAAGAUCCCCUGCCCCCCCCAGCCAUCUGGAAAAGGCAGGUGGGAAGUUCGACAAAUUCCAGAGUUUGAGCAAUUGCUGAAAUGAAACGAGAUCAAAUGAACCAAGAUUGCUACUGCUGAGUUUAAGUAGUCGAUAAUAUGGAUGUCACAAGCCUUGGCCUGGUUCUACCCAGUUCCCUAUCAUUCAAAAAAAAAAUUAGAAAAGGAGAUGGGUGUACAGAGCUGGGUACACUGGGGGAACUUUACUGAGCUUCCUUUUUGUCACAGUCACAGAGAAAGGUCCAGGAUGGAGUCAGAUGAGGCUGAAAUGGACCAAUAUAUUCCAGUUACCUAGACUGAGCACUGUGCACUUCUUUCACUCCAUUCUGAUAAUAAAAAGAGUUGUAAAGAGGUUUGUUUGCCAAGGGAAGAGUAUCCUUUGCCAAGGGAAGCCGAGUCCUUGUGUGACUUGAGCUACAGAGUUCCGCGCAGAUUUUCCAUUGCUCCUGUACUGUUAUUAUAUAACAACCUUCACCAGGCAAUCUGCCAGACUUAUUGGAAUUACAUAAAUCAGCUGUUUUGCUGUC